UUUACCGUUUACGUGGAAUCUGAAGGAAGCUGUAAGCAAAUCUCUGGUCCGACGGACAGAAAUCACAUAUAAGGCUAGGCUACGAGAGAUAAGUUGGCAAGGAACAACGAAGUCUAAUAACUAUCACAUUUGUAGUAGCAGAGUAAAUGUGGCGGAUAUAUGGAGAGAAAGAGCGUGCACC
rnacentral:ncRNA from 1 species